CUCCCACCUAGAGGAAGGAGAAGUCGUAACAAGGUUUCCGUAGGUGAACAUGCGGAAGGAUCAUUGA
rnacentral:rRNA from 1 species